UCAUUCCUGUCUCACAGAUGAGUAUACAGAGGCCCAGAGGCUGAGCAUCUCACCCCAUGACAUUGAGUGGUGGAGCCAGCAUGUGGGCCCAGAUGUAACUGAACACAGUCCCCUAUGCUAUGCUGCAAGAAAAGAGUCAGGUCAACUGGUGUCCAGCCUCAGCCCCACAGGUGGCCAGAGUAUGAAGAGGGGUUACCAGGAGUGGGAUUCCAGGGCCCCAUCUCGUUUUUAAUCACAGUGAUCAGGAUGUGGCCAUUCUCAACCUGUUGAAGAGUGCAAAAAAGUACCUACAGAAGCAGAAAAAUGCGCAAGAAGACCACAUUUUUCUCUCCACUUCCAUUCAACAGACCAGGAGGAUGCAGAAGCUGCUCCCUGCAAGGCAGACACCUUCUCCCGCACAGACUCACCUUGACCUGCGACUCGGUCAUCCCCAGUGGGGAAACUGAGGCACCAGAAGGGGAAGAGACCUCCCAAGAGACCAUCAUCUGCAGUUCUCUCUCCCUUUGUGUUAAUUCAACCACUGACUCAGAUAUUUUCCUGUGUGUGGCUGUGCACUUGGGAUUGAAGAGUAGGGAUGUGGAGAGAGAGUGUGUGGUGGGGGGAGGGGACGAUGGAAGUGUGAGGGACCGAGGCCUAAAGUAUCCCCGAAACCACUUCCAAGAGAUGAGGUCUUCGCCCGCAUGGGACUCUCCAUGUUUCAGGUUGAGUCAGCGGUGGGCGGUCAGGCAGUGUGACCGCCUGGAGAGGCAUAGCAGAUGGGGAGGCCGGUGCCCUUUGGUGGGGAGGGGGGUUCCUUGGUGGGCCCCAAGCUUCUACUGCAGUGGGGCAGCCCCGGUGUUAGAGAGAAGUGCAGGUUCCCUCCGCCUCUGCCCCUGCCUGAUCCUGGCUGGGCCUCCGUGGCCCAAAGAUGGCUCCUUCAGCCACCGUCACCCUCCCUGCCUCCCAGGUGAGCCUCACCUGCCUAUGCACGACCUGCCACCCCCUCCUGGCCCUGACUGGCAUCGCGGGGGCCCUGCACCAGUCCUCUGAAAACAGGUCUGCGGAUGGCAGGGCAAGGAGACCCCCCACAACAACUACAGCCAAGUCCAGCUUGACUCAGCGGCUGUUCCUGGAGUCUGGGCUGUUGUCGCUGCUCCUGUUGACAUAAGCCCUGCGGAGGACGGUGGGAAGCCGGCCUCCUUGAACACAGGCAAGACCAAGAUGGGGUCAGAGUGCAGCCUGUGUCCCUGAAUGGUGUCAGGGCAUGCGUGGGCUCUCUGGGAAGGUGAUGCUGCAGCAGCUUCUCACUGGGGACUGCACUUGCUUGCUUUGGAUGAAGAAGUGACAUGGGCUCCCAGUGGGAGAAGGAAGGUGAGCUACCAGCCGGACCCUGCACAGGGCAAAUGUAGGCUAUCUGGCCUUCUCCGGACCUGGAGACCCCCAGGUUCCCUAGGAGGGCGGCUGA